rnacentral:tRNA from 1 species
CGCGGGGUGGAGCAGUUUGGUAGCUCGUCGGGCUCAUAACCCGAAGGCCGUAGGUUCGAAUCCUACCCCCGCAACCA